AAUCUUGUACAACCGCACAAUCGAAGAAAGGCGAAAGCAGAGAGAGGAGAGGGAGACGAAAGAAGAUGACGAAGCAGAGCUUCAUAGUUGCAGUGUUUAUGGUGUUCCUGGUGUGUAGCUCUCACUUGGAGAGCGUCGCCGGCCAAGUCUCCCCCGCCGAAUGCGAGGACUCCUGCUCCAUGGGCUGCAUUAAUGUUGACCAGAGGCUUGCGGCGCGUUGCGAGCGUAAGUGCAGAAUUAAAUGCUACCCAGCAGGUGUGAAAGUUGAAGAAAAGAAUUUGGGUUAAAGAGGUUUUGAGGGAGGAGAGAUGCUGAUGUGUAGAAUUAAGAGCCGUGUGUAAUGUUUGGUAGUGAUGAAUAAAAUGUAAGUUGAAGUUGUGACGUGGCGAGAAAAUAAAAAUGGGGAAGGAAAUAGUUUGGCCUUCACUCAUUUAUUUUCA